GAAAAAUGCCAUCCCGUUUAUAGUAGUGUCCGUUUUAUCUUCAAUCCAAUUUAAAAGGUCUUGCCACAGCCUAUUUACGUAUCUGCAUUCAAACAU